GAGGGCCCCAGCUCUGUUACUGACUAACUGUGAGAUUUGGGGAAGCAACAGAAACCUCUGUGUGUCUCAGUUUCCCAAGCCGCAAAACGAAUAAUAGUUCCUUCCUAUAACUUUCAAGAAGCCUUUCGCACAGUGCUCAGCGCUCAGGAUUGACCGCAUGGACGUUGUGUUCCUGCUAACCAGGUCCUGACUCCCAGUUCACUCCUCCUGUGAAGAGAGGCCCUUUACUCUGUCCUCCACAGAGAACCCUACAGAAAGCUUCCCACCUGCAGUUCCUUUGUGCACCAGCAUGCUUCAAAUGGGUGUCAGGUGGGUGGAGACUUUGACCCCCCUCAGGCCCUGAGAGCCUGAAGCUCUGGGUCUCCGCCUCCAUGGUCGGCAGCUUCUCUUGGUUGCCUUGGUGCGCCAUCCCAGUGCUCUCAUUUCAUCAUUUCACAAUGUUCCCAGAGAAAAACUUCCCUUGUCUUUGGCAACAUGAGAAAAUCAAGGACAAGUCAGUGAGUUUUUCCUUUAAGUUCAUUUUUUUUUUUCCCAAGCUGCAAAGACUAUCUUUUGUUCAGAUUUUUGGCCUCCUUCCAUUUUUAGCGUAAAGUGUGUUCUGCCUUUGAGGACAGAAUAGUGACAAUGGGCAAGCCACCGCUUCAUUGCUUGUUUGUGUUUCAAUGUCCUUAGGUGGCAAAAUAGAAAGCUGGAAUCCUUAUGUGAGCUCCAGAUUACUGGAAACUUCCCUUGUCUAUGAAAUCUCAAAGUCUGGGAACCACUGCCCUGGAAUUUACAAAACAUUUUCAGGCACAUAAUCUCACUCAUUUCCCAUUUGACAGUUAGCGACAGCUAAUGAGGUUCCAGGAUAUUUUUUUGACUUGGCCAAGGUCACAUGGCCUUGGCCAAAUAGCGAAGGCAGGACUUCCCUUUGAAAGCCAUGCCCGCUUAUCACGAGGAAUAGCUGAGUCUCUUUUCUGUAGUACAGGAAUCUCACAAUAAGUCCCCCAUUUCAGAGCAGCCGAAAGUCUAAAAUGGGUCUGUCUUCUCCUGUAGGAGUUCAGUGUGUGUGGAUCUCAAAGAACCUCCCUCCCAGCACCACUGAGGUGCUGAGGAUGCCCCUGAAACGGCCUCAGACUCGACUUGGACUAUGGGUUCCAUCUGUAGAGCUGGCCUCACUGACAGCAUUACAGGAAGGCUUCGAGGCGGCUCCCUGUGACCAUGUGGCAAUCAGACCAUCCCUGGCAUCCCACCUUGUGGGUGAGGAGACUGCCUCCUAACUGUGGAGGCAGAUCGCUAACUCACAAGGCACCCGUCCAUCUCCCCAGAGCAUCUCCGGUGUCUGGAUGCGGAGCAGAUCCCCCAGUUACCACCUGUUCCUGAGAUGCAUGUUUUUUGAGCACCUACUGUGUGUGUCAGCGCUGGGCAAUGCCCUCUGGAUAGAGCCAUGAAUAAGCCAGACAAAACCCUGGCUCGCGCCUGUAAGCCCAGAACUUUGGGAGGCUAAGGUGGAAUGAUUGUUUGAGACCCGGAGUUCAAUACCAGCCUGGGCAACAAGGGUGGAGCUGGGAUUCUGUGACUGUGACUCUAACAAGCUUCCAGUCAAAUGGGAAUAGGACAUCGUCAUGGGAUGGCCGAGAAGAUUUGGUGAUGUGAGUUCCGCACAUUGCGUUCUGCUAAAAGGUGUCUUAAAACCGAAGAGCACCACAGAAUGCCAGACACCAGACACUCACCACACGCGGUGGGUGCUAUUUCUGCACCAGGCUCCAGAGAGUGCGUUCCUGGGUGCUGACGCUCCUACAGCUGCCUCCUCUGCAACAGCCUCUCUUCCCUGUACAGAUUCCUCACCACAUCCAGCCAAAUCGCCUUCAUCCCAGCAGAGGCUGCAGAAGGCAGACGGCCAGGAGACUGGGGCCGUCAAUGCACUGGGUACAGCAGUAAUCCUCUAGGGUCUUCAACGCCUUAGGUCCUAGUGGCCUGGGAUGACCUGACCCCAGACACCCUCCCCAGAAGCAAGUCCAUCCCCAGUGUGCAGGAAGGAAUACACCUUUGGGUUGACUAAAACGUCAUGCUGGAAAGGAAGUUUGACAGAGGAAGGUCAUUCUCAUUCCACAGGCACCUCAAAGACAGGGGUUUCUCUCUUGGGUGUCGGGCUGUAGCUUCCAUAAAGUUUUCAGCAUGUUUUCUGAAUACCCACCUGGCAUCGAUGCUUGGAGGUGCAAAGUGGGUUGGAUGACUGAAUCCUGCCCUUGAGAGCUGACACUGUCACCAAAGUUGUUGAGAUGGGCUGGAGUCGCCCACUGAGCACUCAGUGACUGGUACGCCAAAGACCAAGGCCUCAUAGUGGACACCAUGAUGAAAACAACGUACAGUUAGAUGGGAGGAAAACAUUCUGCUCUUCUCUGGCACAGAAGGGUGGCUAUUUUUAAUACUAAUGUAUGGCAUAUUUCAAAAUAGCUGGAAGAGAGGACUUGGAAUGUGCUCACCACAAAGACAUGACAAGUAUUGGAGGUGAUGAAUUUGCUAAUUACCCUGAUUUGAUCCUUACACAAGCUAUACAUGUGUGGACACAUCAGACUCUACCCCAUAAAUAUAUACAAUUAUAUGUUCAUUUUAAAAGAUGGAAAUGAUGCAAAUGUCCAUCAGCUGGCGAAUGGGUAAACGGAGUGUGUGUGUCUGUAUAAUGGGAUUGCAUUUGUCCAUGUAAAGGAAGGAAGUGCUGAUACACGCCACAGCAUGUGUUGGUGGACUGCUCAGGCCCCCUGCACACCUUGCGUCCAGGCUUCCUCUUGCAGGACCAGGAUCUUCCCUGCUCCUUCCACAUUCCUGAAGAGUCACCCUGCGUCAGGCAGUGGAUCACAGUGGCAGAGUGAUGAGCUUGAUAGACAAGAAGCAGCCUUCAGGGAGCUUUCACACAGUAGGGGAAAUGGAUGAAUAACCAACACCACCUACUUACAGCUUGCGAAGGUGCCAAAAAGAAACCAGAAAGGUGCCCUGGGAGAGGGGGAGCUGGGGUGGGGAUAGUGGUUGAGAAGGAAUUGAAAUCUGAGCUGGGACAUAAGAAAUUGUGCUAUACUGAAUAGUGUCACCUGCCCAUUCAUGUUUUCUCCAGGAACCUCAGAAUAUGAUUUGGUUUUUGUUUUGUUUUGUUUUAAGAAUCAGGGUCUUAGUGUGUUGCCCAGGCUGGUCUUGAAUCCUGGCCUCAAGCAAUCUUCCCAUCUUGACCUCCCAAAGCGCAAGGAUUACAGGCAUGUGCCACCAUGCCCUGCCAGAAUAUGAUCUUAUGUGCAAAUAGGAUCAUUGUAGAUGUAGUUAGUUAAUGUGAGGUCAUACUAGAGUGGGGUGGGCCCUUAACCCAAUAUGAUUUGUGUCCUCACAUGAAGGGGAGAAGAGACACAGCCAUGCACAGAGGGAAGACAGUGAAAGCACAGACACACAGAGGGAGAUGGCCAUGUGACAACAGUAGCAGAGGCUGCAGCAAUGCAGCUACAAGCCAGGGAACCCGGAGGAUUGGUGGUGACCACCUGCAGCUGGAAGAGGCAAGGAGGAUGCUCUCCCACAGCCUUCAGAGGGAGCGGGCCCCUGGCAAGACCUUGACUUCAGAGUUGGGCCUCCACAAUGAUGACAGAAGCCAUUUCUGUUGUUUGAAGGCACCCAGUUGAUGGCAUUGGGUACAGCGUCCACAGAAGGCUGAUGCAAGAGCGAAGAGUGUUACAGUAGAGGGAGGAGGCAGUGCAGAUGCCUUCACGAGAAAGUUGCUAGGAUUAUUGGAGCAGCGACCAGGAUGCCCAAAGGAGUGGGAGUCCCACAGGCAGGCAGGGAUGAUCCCAGAACAGGUUGGUGCCCAGCCACAGGGUCUUGUAGGCCAUGGUGUUGAUGUUCGUUUUAUUCUAACAACAUUGGGAAGUCAUUGAAGGAUUUUACAAGAAAGAUGAAACAUGAUUUGAAGUUCAUUUUUGAAAGAUCGCAUCAGCUGCUCUGUGAAGAGGAGUUUUGAAAGAGGCAAGAGAGGAGGCAGGACAACCACUGUGGCCGGCAGGUCCUCAAACGAUUACGCAGAGUCCCCGCGUGACCCACAGUUCCACUCCUCUGUGUAGACCCACGAGAAACAAAAACAUAUGUUCAUACAGAAACCUGUACAAAAUGUUUAAAGCAGCAUUAUUUGUAAUAGCCCAAAGAUAGAAACUACAUAAAUGUCCACCAAUGAAUCCAUACAAUGAGGUAGUAUUUGACCAUAAAAAGGAAUGAAGUGCCGAUAGGACAGCAUGAAUGAACGCUGGAACCAUCAUGAUAAGUGAAGGAAGCCAUUCACAAAAGACCACGGAUUGUAUGAUUCCGUUUAGACAAAAUGCCCAGAGGAGGCAAAUCUCUGGAGACAGAAAGUAGAUGACUAGUUGCUUAUGGCUGCAGGGGUGAGCGCUGGGGAGGGGAGAUAGCUGAAGGGGACAGAGCUUCUUUUUGAGGUGAUACAAAUGCUGUAAAAUGGACCAUAGUGACGACUGCAUCUACAUGGAAUAUACUAGCAACCAUUGAAUUGGAUAUUUUCUUUUAAAGUGAAAGCAAGCUUAUUAGAGAAGUAAAGAAACAAAAGAAUGGCCACUCCAUAGACAGAGCA